rnacentral:rRNA from 1 species
GACGAACGCUGGCGGCGUGCUUAACACAUGCAAGUCGAACGGAAAGGCCCCUUUGGGGGUACUCGAGUGGCGAACGGGUGAGUAACACGUGAGUAACCUGCCCUUGACUUCGGGAUAACUUCAGGAAACUGGGGCUAAUGCCGGAUGGGAAUCCUUGCUGCAUGGUGGGGGUUGGAAAGCUUCGGCGGUUUUGGAUGGACUCGCGGCUUAUCAGCUUGUUGGUGGGGUAGUGGCUUACCAAGGCUUUGACGGGUAGCCGGCCUGAGAGGGCGACCGGCCACAUUGGGACUGAGAUACGGCCCAGACUCCUACGGGAGGCAGCAGUGGGGAAUAUUGCACAAUGGGCGGAAGCCUGAUGCAGCAACGCCGCGUGCGGGAUGACGGCCUUCGGGUUGUAAACCGCUUUCAGCAGGGGCGAAGCUUGUGGUGACGGUACCUGCAGAAGAAGCACCGGCUAACUACGUG